rnacentral:rRNA from 1 species
GUAACAACCAUUUGAGUCUGGGAUUUCUGAAUGGGGAAACCCACUAGCAUAAGCUAGUAUCGUUAUGUGAAUACAUAGCAUAACGAGGCGAACCGGGGGAACUGAAACAUCUAAGUACCCCGAGGAAAAGAAAUCAACCGAGAUUCCGAAAGUAGCGGCGAGCGAAAUUGGACUAGCCCUUAAGCUUUACACGCGUUAGACGAACGGUCUGGAAAGUCCGACGAUACAGGGUGAUAGUCCCGUAGUUGACGACGUGUGUUCAGUGAAAUCGAGUAGGGCGGGACACGUGAUAUCCUGUCUGAAUAUGGGGGGACCAUCCUCCAAGGCUAAAUACUACUGACUGACCGAUAGUGAACCAGUACCGUGAGGGAAAGGCGAAAAGAACCCCUGUGAGGGGAGUGAAAUAGAACCUGAAACCGUGUACGUACAAGCAGUAGGAGCAGGCUUUGUCCUGUGACUGCGUACCUUUUGUAUAAUGGGUCAGCGACUUAUAUUCAGUGGCAAGGUUAACCAUCUAGGGGAGCCGUAGGGAAACCGAGUCUUAACUGGGCGUUCAGUCUCUGGAUAUAGACCCGAAACCAGGUGAUCUAGCCAUGGGCAGGUUGAAGGUUGAGUAACAUCAACUGGA